ACCCCAGUGACGCAGUGGUUAGCGUGUCGUUCUUAUAAUGCGAAAGUCGUGGGUUCGACACCCACCUGGAGUA
rnacentral:tRNA from 3 species